rnacentral:rRNA from 1 species
UACGAAGGGGGCUAGCGUUGUUCGGAAUUACUGGGCGUAAAGCGCGUGUAGGCGGGUCUUUUAAGUCAGGGGUGAAAUGCCAAGGCUCAACCUUGGAACUGCCUUUGAUACUGGAGACCUUGAGUCCGGGAGAGGUGAGUGGAAUUGCGAGUGUAGAGGUGAAAUUCGUAGAUAUUCGCAGGAACACCAGUGGCGAAGGCGGCUUACUGGUCCAUUACUGGACGCUGAGGUGCGAAAGCGUGGGGAGCAAACAGG